CCUACGGGAUGCACCAGUGGGGAAUAUUGUACAAUGGGCGCAAGCCUGAUGCAGCCAUGCCGCGUGUAUGAAGAAGGCCUUCGGGUUGUAAAGUACUUUCAGCGAGGAGGAAGGCAUUAAGGUUAAUAACCUUGAUGAUUGACGUUACUCGCAGAAGAAGCACCGGCUAACUCCGUGCCAGCAGCCGCGGUGAUACGGAGGGUGCAAGCGUUAAUCGGAAUUACUGGGCGUAAAGCGCACGCAGGCGGUCUGUCAAGUCGGAUGUGAAAUCCCCGGGCUCAACCUGGGAACUGCAUCCGAAACUGGCAGGCUAGAGUCUUGUAGAGGGGGGUAGAAUUCCAGGUGUAGCGGUGAAAUGCGUAGAGAUCUGGAGGAAUACCGGUGGCGAAGGCGGCCCCCUGGACAAAGACUGACGCUCAGGUGCGAAAGCGUGGGGAGCAAACAGGAUUAGAUACCCCUGUAGUC
rnacentral:rRNA from 1 species